AAAUCCUAUGGCUUAACCAUAGAACUGCAUUUGAAACUACUACUCUAGAGUAUGGGAGAGGUAGGUGGAAUUCUUGGUGUAGGGGUAAAAUCCGUAGAGAUCAAGAGGAAUACUCAUUGCGAAGGCGACCUGCUGGAACAUUACUGACGCUGAUGCGCGAAAGCGUGGGGAGCAAACAGGAUUAGAUACCCUGGUAGUCCACGCCCUAAACGAUGAAUGCUAGUUGUUGUGGAGCUUGUCUCUGCAGUAAUGCAGCUAACGCAUUAAGCAUUCCGCCUGGGGAGUACGGUCGCAAGAUUAAAACUCAAAGGAAUAGACGGGGACCCGCACAAGCGGUGGAGCAUGUGGUUUAAUUCGAAGAUACGCGAAGAACCUUACCUAGGCUUGACAUUGAUAGAAUCUGCUAGAGAUAGCGGAGUGCUGGCUUGCCAGAGCUUGAAAACAGGUGCUGCACGGCUGUCGUCAGCUCGUGUCGUGAGAUGUUGGGUUAAGUCCCGCAACGAGCGCAACCCUCGUCCUUAGUUGCUAACAGUUCGGCUGAGCACUCUAGGGAGACUGCCUUCGUAAGGAGGAGGAAGGUGAGGACGACGUCAAGUCAUCAUGGCCCUUACGCCUAGGGCUACACACGUGCUACAAUGGGAUGCACAAAGAGACGCAAUACCGCGAGGUGGAGCAAAUCUCAAAAACAUCUCUCAGUUCGGAUUGUAGUCUGCAACUCGACUACAUGAAGCUGGAAUCGCUAGUAAUCGUGAAUCAGCCAUGUCACGGUGAAUACGUUCCCGGGUCU
rnacentral:rRNA from 1 species